UUUUCUCCUCACAGGAAGCGAUGUCGUUUCCUUAGACUCGGUUUCAUAAUUAAAAAAAAAUUUCUAAUCUCUUCCGUUAUCCUGAUAAACGUCGUCGUUUCAUAUUAGACUCAAAUCUCUAACGAUAGUUAUGUCGCCGGCGAUUUUCGUCGGUCCAAUCUUAGCGGUGGACGCCGCCGUAUCUCGCGCAAUUCACACGGCGGCGAAACCAUUCCUCCCACCGUUUCUUCUCCUCCUCCUCGAAAUCUCAGCUGAUUUCAGAUUCUCCUUCCCCGUAUCACUUUCCCUACUCCUCUCCCCUCCAUUACGCUCUUUCCUCGUCCCAUUCCUCCUCGGCCUCCUCUUCGAUCUAAUCUUCGUCGGACUCGUGAAAUUAAUCUUCCGUCGUGCUCGUCCCGCUUACAAUCACCCUUCAAUGUCCGCCGCUGUAUCAGCUGAUCACUAUUCCUUUCCCUCAGGCCACGCUUCUCGCGUCUUCUUCGUUGCUGCAUCUGUUCACUUCUUCUCAGCUGUUGUAGAAGCUCCCAUGGUUGGUCCAACCUACUCUUUUUUAGAUGGAUGGAUCAGAGAUCAUAACGAUGGCGUUGUGAAGGGAGAGGUUGUGGUGGCUGUAUGGAUCUGGGCAACAUUGACUGCGAUCUCUAGGAUUCUAUUAGGGAGACAUUACGUUCUCGAUGUAGCUGCUGGUGCUUGCUUAGGGAUUCUUGAAGCUCUCUUUGCUCUUCGAUUUCUGAGAUUUGAUGAAUUGAUCUUUGGAAGUGUAGCCAGCAUGUUCUGUACUAUGUUACAGAGUCUUUCGUUAUCGUCAGAAAGAAAACCGUUGCUACAUUUCCCAAGAAUCAUAUUAUCUCUUUCAACCGAUGCCUUCGCCUUGUUGGAUAUAUACUUUUGCAAGCUCAGUCACAGGUCGGUGAAAGUUAUGCAUAUGCUAGGCAUGGGUUUAUAGGGUAUCAGUUAUAACAGGUAAUCUUAGUACAUCAAAGGUUCAGUAGUAACUUAGAAUGUUUAAGGUUGCAGGAGAUGCGUGUGAAAUUGGACCCACCCUGCAGUAUGUAAGAGGCUGUCCUCUACGAUCGUGGAGCAAACUGGGUGGGAGAUAUUAUUUUUUUAAAUAGCUAUAAUUGAAGCUUGAAUGAAAGCUGUUUCUGCAGCAAUUCCUGCAGGAAACUCUGUUGAUUAGACUGAGAAAACAGAGCCAAAGCUUAGAUGGCAAGGAGGUGUAAAGUCCCGAUCUGAAAAUUCAGUUGACAUGACUCUCUCACGGUAACAAUCUCUUUUU